rnacentral:ncRNA from 2 species
GAAUUUAAUUGAUAGAGACUUUGUAUAACUCCAAUGAUAUGGUUUGGGGGUUUCUACCAGGGACCGAUAAUUCCUGAUUACGAAGAAGAUACUUUUGUGU